AACGGCCGUACCAUGCUGAAUAUACCGGUUCUCGUUAGAUCACCGAAGUUAAGCAUCAUUGGGCGCGGUCAGUACUUGGGUGGGUGACCACCUGGGAACACCGCAUGCCGUU
rnacentral:rRNA from 1 species